rnacentral:rRNA from 1 species
GCUUAACACAUGCAAGUCGAACGGAAAGGCCCUGCUUUUGUGGGGUGCUCGAGUGGCGAACGGGUGGGUAACACGUGAGUAACCUGCCCUUGACUUUGGGAUAACUUCAGGAAACUGGGGCUAAUACCGGAUAGGAGCUCCUGCUGCAUGGUGGGGGUUGGAAAGUUUCGGCGGUUGGGGAUGGACUCGCGGCUUAUCAGCUUGUUGGUGGGGUAGUGGCUUACCAAGGCUUUGACGGGUAGCCGGCCUGAGAGGGUGACCGGCCACAUUGGGACUGAGAUACGGCCCAGACUCCUACGGGAGGCAGCAGUGGGGAAUAUUGCAUAAUGGGCGGAAGCCUGAUGCAGCAACGCCGCGUGCGGGAUGACGGCCUUCGGGUUGUAAACCGCUUUCGCCUGUGACGAAGCGUGAGUGACGGUAAUGGGUAAAGAAGCACCGGCUAACUACGUGCCAGCAGCCGCGGUGAUACGUAGGGUGCGAGCGUUGUCCGGAUUUAUUGGGCGUAAAGGGCUCGUAGGUGGUUGAUCGCGUCGGAAGUGUAAUCUUGGGGCUUAACCCUGAGCGUGCUUUCGAUACGGGUUGACUUGAGGAAGGUAGGGGAGAAUGGAAUUCCUGGUGGAGCGGUGGAAUGCGCAGAUAUCAGGAGGAACACCAGUGGCGAAGGCGGUUCUCUGGGCCUUUCCUGACGCUGAGGAGCGAAAGCGUGGGGAGCGAACAGGCUUAGAUACCCUGGUAGUCCACGCUGUAAACGGUGGGUACUAGGUGUGGGGUCCAUUCCACGGGUUCCGUGCCGUAGCUAACGCUUUAAGUACCCCGCCUGGGGAGUACGGCCGCAAGGCU